CCAUUUCUCUCUUCUUCGAAAUUUCAAUCGACGACUUCUUCUUCAUUUGAUAUUCCACCUGCAAAAUCGGAGACAUCGAAGACGAAAUCGAGAUCUCUACAUCCUUCUGCUUCGUCAAAGUAAGUGAAUAAAUGGUGAUGGAUUGUGUGUUGUAGUUAAUUUUGGGUGUGGUUUAGCAAAAUUAGGGUUUUUCGGAUUUGGGGAAAUUUUUUGGGACAACUUUUUUUUAUUUUAUUUAGGGUUAUUCCUGAUAGUUGAAGUGUGAAUCCGUAUAAUACUCUUAAAUGAUUUAUUCUUUGUUAUAUAAAUUCAUCCUGAUUUUGGGAUUUAUCAAAUCUGUUAUCAAGUUUUCUGUGAACCCUAUAAAAGAAUCACCAUUGGAGAAGAGAAUUUGAUGGAGUUCUAAAUUUUUCAAACCUCAAAAUUAUAUUAAUAAACAAUUGGUGAUGAAUCUUAUGAGAGUAUCACUAUUGAGGUUGCUCUUACGUUAUUGUUGUUAGCGUUUCUCUGGUUAUUUUUGUAUUUUCUAUGUUUUUUGGUCGUGCCUCUUUGUGUUCGUUCUUUCUAAUUGCUAAAUUAUUUCCUGGUUUAGAAUUCAUGCGUGUAGAUAUCUCUGAUUUAGGAAAGAACAUUGUUGUCAUCGUUCCGCUCUGCGAGUUAGUUGUGGUUUUCUUUUUUCGUUUUUUUUUUUUUGUUUCUCAGAUUUGUGACUCAUCUUUGUUGCGAAUAGUUUCUGAUCUUUAUUGAUCUUCGAAGAAUUCCCCUCAAGGAUGACUCUUUUUUUUUGGGAUGAUGUUUCGUUUUGGACGUUCAUAUACUAUAUCAGUCUAUAUUUCAUAAAUUGGGAUUUAGCUUAUUUGUUGUUGUUGUUGGGUUAGGUUAUACGGUUACGUAUGUAUCGCGUUUAUGGUUUUUUUUUUGCUACGUUCUGAUAUCCUCGGUUUGUCAAUUGUUUUAUAGCCUUUUUCAUUUGUAUUGAUCUAUUGAUUUUCUGUUUUGUUGGUUCUGAGUGGUUUAAAAAUAGAUCUAUUGAUUUAUUUUCAUUCUUUUGGGUUUGCUUUUUUUUUUUUUUGGCUUUUCACAAAAAAAACGAUCGAUAUAAUAUGCCCUUUUAUUUCUUAUUUUUUUGGUCUUUUACCGUGUUUGUUGUUUUUUUUUUCUAUGUAGACAUGUAGGUGCUGCUUCUUUGUGUUCGAUUGCCUGAGUAGCUGGUUAGUUCUUUUUGCCAAGAUGCUGAAAGGUAGAGUUUAGGGUUUUGUAUUUGAAUUUGUUCUUGGUUUGUUUUUGACAAGGAAUUUGUUCUUGGUUUUGUGAUUGUCUUUGUUUCUUUACUAAUGGAUUGUGUUUGUGUUACGCCUGUGUUUUCUAUAUGAUCGGGGUUUGUUUAGGCGUGUUUUUUUAUAUUCUUCCCCUACGAGUCGUUGUUGGCUUAUUGGUUUUUGAUUGCUUUGUUUUUUUGGCUGUUUUUGAAAUUUUUUCUUUACUUGUUCGCAUUUUGCUCUUCCAUCUAACAGGUUUAGAUGCAGUUUAGGUUUAUGUUUCCUUUCUGCUCUGUCGAGGUAUACUUUCGUGGGAAUCACGUCUGCGAGUUUGUAUGUUUUUUGUUUUGCUUUGUUCUGCUUUACUCUCUUUAGUCUCUAUGAAAUCGGUUUUAUUAAGUUACCUUCCUCUUCGGAUGCAGAAAACCGUGGUCUUAUCGAGCGCACAUGUUCAAAACCUGCACUUACGGUCAUACUCUUAUGCUCAAUCUGAAAAACACAGAGAGAUGUAACACUGAGAAAGGAACUCACUGAGAAAGAAACUCCUUCUCACAGAAAUAACUCAUAUGCAACACUUCAAUACAGAGUCUAUGAUUUUGUUUUCUGAAAGACAGUAAUUUCAUGUGUAAUAGGUUGUUGAUGAAUUUAACAUACUAUGAUCUCCUUCGUGGGAAUCAGCGUUCAUCCCAAGUUUGCAAUUACUGAUUGAGUAAGUUAAUGGCAGAGAUGAUAGGUCAGCAUCUCCGAUCAAAAGCUUGGCCAGAACGACAUCUCGGCUUCCUUUUGGUUUGGUUAACAUCUCCGGUUUUGACCAUAUGAAUCGGCUUGGUUCCUGCAAAAUUUUGACAGCCCAUUCUGUCAAUUAUCUCCAAAAAAAAACAACUAUUGUGAUUACAAGAGUGAGGUCCUUUUGACCUGAUUUUAAGAAUAAUAAACUAAAUGACUAUUUGAUUAACAG
rnacentral:lncRNA from 1 species